GUGCUCACUUCAGAAGCACAUAUACUAAAGAGAAGAUUAGCAUGGCCCCUGUACAAUGAUGACACACAAAUUCAUGAAGCAUUCCAUAUUUUU
rnacentral:snRNA from 1 species